ensembl:lincRNA
CUGGUGGCUUGUGGCAGGAAGGGCUCCUUCACAUUAAACUUGAGCAGAUCUGGAAAAUGUCAUUCCCCAGCCUCAGCAAAGCCGACAGCUGAUGCGAUUUAUCUGACUGAGGAUCAGUUCAUCAAACUUGGCUGUGAGUCCUUGGGUGAGACUUGUCCUUUCUCUGGACCUAACUUCCUCACUUGUGAGAUGGAGAAACGAUUGCUCCCAAGAGGAAAAUGGAUAAAUACUGUAUAUACGAUACUUGGCAUACUGACCUCAAACUUCUCAUCAGUAGAAUGGGGAAAGUGGCAAUAUGGUGACCAGCAGGUGCCAGCACUCAAUGCAUAGAUGUCUCCGAAGCAGUGAUGUCUCUUAGCAUCCUUGGUUGUUAGGAAGGGCUGGGACGCUCAAAGAGAAACUGAGCUGCUGUGCCAAGCCUUCCUCACCACAAUGGACCGAAGACCCUGCAACAGCCAGAAGUGACUUUCUCCUCCUUUGGCUAUUUCUAUCAGAUACACCAGGAAGUUGUGAGCUACCACACAGUUGCUGGGAAUUGAACUCAGGACCUCUGGAAGAACAGUCAGUGCUCUUAACCUCUGAGCCAUCUCCCCAAGUUUUUUAUUCCAUACAUGUGCAUGCAGUGUCAAUCGAGAACUGAAGAGGGCACUAGACUCCCUGGAACUGCAGUUACAGAUGGUUGUGAGCUACUGUGUGGCUUCUGGAACCUGACCCCAGGCUCUUUGCAAGAGCAGUCAGUUCUCUUAACAUCGGAACCACCUCUCUAGCUCUGUCAUUUGACUUUUAAUUGUUAACGCUCACUUCUGCCUUAAAGAAGUUUUUUUUUUUGUUUGUUUCUAUAAAGCCAAAUUAGUCUCCCCUGCCCCUUUCUGAGGGCUUUGUCUGAGGACUUCUCAAGCAUUAAAACUAUUGUUCAAAAUGUAUCUGUGGUUCCUUUCAGGUUAAUUCUUUCAUUAAAAACGUUUCAGUCCCUGACCCACCUAGAAUUUACUUUGGUAUAAGGUAUGAAACGUGGAUCUAAUUUUACGUUUUCUCAAUGGCUAAUUGGAUGUCCUAAUGAUAUUAAUAAGUAGUUCAUCUUCUCCUCAAUGAUUUUGUUUUCCUCCCCAACUUUAUCAAAGUACAACUGUUAAAUAAACAUUACACAUUUGGAUGCAUAAUAUAUUUUGAUUUAUGCAUACAUUAUGAGAUGUUAGAUCAAGUCAAUUCGUGUAUCCAUCACCUAAUUAUUAUUAUGGUUUAAAUAUUAAAUGUUCCUCACAGGAUCAUACUUUGAAUGCUUGGCCUCUAGUUGGUGGUUCUGUUUUAGGGAGUUCUGGAAACUUUAGGAAUCGGGGCCUAUGGUCAUCCGGACAUGCCUUUGUGAGUCUAUUCACUGGCUUCUUCUAAUCUUUCACUGUGCUCCCCAUCUGCUGGGAUAUAAGCAGUGAUCCCCCACCACGCGCUCCUGCCGCCAUGAUGUUCUGUUUAAGUGUGAAGGGCCAAGUGUUUUUAAAUUCAUGCAUGGCCUGAACUCCCUGGAACCCUGAGCUGGAAUCCAUUACUUCCUUCUGUAGAUAUAAUGUAGAUAUAGUGGGGUGUGUCUCUCAGAUAUUUGGUCAAAGCAAUGAGAAAAACAGCUUUAUGAUUUAAAUGUGAAAUAUGCCCUGCAGGCCCAUGCGUUUGAACACUGGGUCCCUGGACAACGGUGCUGUAUUUUUGGAAGGCUGUGGAAACUUUAGGAGGCAGAGCGUCAGUCUUGGCGAUGGACCACUGAGGGGCCAGCCUUGAGGAUGUCUGUGUCUCAGGCUGAGCUCUUAGCUUUCCUUUUCUAGCAAGAUGGGAGCAAGCUGAGGCAGAAGAGAGCUGUUCUGUAAGCUCUUGCCUCCACAGACAGGGGCAGGUUCCACCGCCACGCCUUCCUCUCUAUGACCCGAGCCAGUCCUUUCUCUCUUGAGCUGCUUCUCAAAGCUGUCUUAGGCAUUUGGGCACAGCAACCAAGGACCGAAUACAGCAGCGGAUACCCUUCCACACAUUUUUGUGGCAAGAUCAUUUACAAUCUGAGCUGGUGAAUUCCAGAUGACCAAAGAAAUCACUUCAUCCAAGUCCAGUUUGGUAAAGCCAUGAGCUAACUGGGGGUUUCUUCUGGAGCAAGGAAGACACUGCGGACACUGUGCCCCACUGUGACUCAGAGGGUAGCUCACUCAGGCUACCUGCAUUUCCAGUUCCCCAUAUAGCUUGCAAGCAGUGAUCUCACCAGAGGACCCUCCCUCCUCUCAUCUCAGGAACCUCACGAACCUCCUCCCUAACCUCCUGGAUCGACUAUUCUGUUCUGGAAGAAGCAGUUCCACAGUACAUGUAUUAUUAUUGACUAUAGUCACCAGGCUGCACAACCGGAAGUGCUCAUCAUGCCUAACAGGAGUGGCGCCUCCUUUCCCUGCAUCUUCCCUGCAUCCCUCAGUCCUGGCAACUAGCAUUCUGCUCUCUGCUGCUGUGAGUUCAACGCUGUGAAAUGCUUAAGUGUAAGUGAAACCACAGAAGGCUCUCCGUGCCUGGCUUAUUUUAUUUGGCAUAAUGCCUUCAGGUUCAUCCACGUUGCAAAUGACAGGAUUCCCAGACUCCUAUUUCCCAGCGUCUCAAAGCAAGGGUGGUCUCUCCAUAAGGUGUUGUGGACUAAAUGUGGGGGGUCGCAAAGUAUUUGGUGAGAGUUAAAACAUUUCUGAACUUGUGGGGACCAACCCUGAUUCAAAAUCAAAUGUGCAAUGAAACCAGGGUAUGCCAGCUGUGCUUGCUUGUGUUGUGUCAUGUGACCUUACUGAAGCCAUGGUUCAGCAGACCCCACGUGGGCUUUUUGCACUGGGCAGGCUGGCACAGCACACAGCACCAAUGGAGACUGCUUGAGAUGCCUUGACUCAUCACGGAGGCUAUUCUGUGUUAUGAACUGCGGUGUUCUUUACUGAACACGCAGAGCUCUCAGCUCAUGUGCAAAGAGAAUGGUUUCAUUACAGAGAACAGGCUUUUAAUAUUUUCCUACCCCUAUCCUUCAGCAUGUAAGUAGCAGGUUGGUGGUAUAGCUUUGGAUUAUAUUGUGUUUGAAUGUUUGACUUUAAAAAUUGCUGUUUGAGUUGCGGACUCAAAUUUCAUAAAAAAAAAAAAAUCAAAUCAGGAAAUGAAUUUUUGGCUUGAGGCUGGGACAGUCUUUUCAACAGUCUCUGAAGUGGCCCUCAAUAUACUUCUGCCAUUUUGAGCUAGACACAAAAUGCAAAGCAGUGUUCUCAGCAUUGGCAAUUAUAGAUCAAUAAUUCCAAUCAACGCUGGAAAUGUUCAGGAUGCUCCAUGUCCUUCAGCAUCAAAGUUAUUCUUUAAUAAGAAUAAACCAGCACAUACAAUGCAGUGGCAUGCAUGCUUGCAUCUGUUUUUUUUUUUUAAUGCAACGGUCAAUUUCUGUGCAUAGUAAAUAAUUGUUUUUAAAUAAACUUUGUUAUGAUUUAUUCUC